AGCUCCUGAGUGAUGAUGUUCUUUCUAUACAUCCCAAGCGUUCUGUACAUCUAUGCAUCCCAAGUGCAUCAAGAUGGACCAGGUUGUCAGCAUGUUCAGAGUAAACAUGAAGAUUUAUGAUGUGCAUCUAAUGCCUGGUUUGGGGUCUGCACCAUGCUGGAGUCCAAGACUCAAGUGGGCUCUCCUGGGUAAAGAUUGCUCCCACAUAAUCUACAAUUUGCAGAUGGAGAAAAUGAUGCAUCUAUUAUGUGAUACCCAUAAAGUGAAGUAUUUCAUGAUUCUGAAGAAGAAUUGGAGGUGAGACUUGAGAAAAUGGAGAAAAAGUAUGCUUUGGAUUUUCUUGAAGAUUAGAAGCUUUCUUAACCAUCCACCAUCUUGUUGAUUGGUUAUUAUUCUCUCUACCUUCUGUGAAACAAACUGAUGGAUACUAAUGGCACAAUUACACUUAUAGCUAGUCAGUUGCAUAGUUUAUGCACAUAGUUCUGCUACCAAUGUUUAGUAAUGAGUUAAACAUUUUGGCUAUAUUUGUCACUGAAGCUAUAAUUUAAUUAAUC
rnacentral:lncRNA from 1 species